GAACGCGAAGAACCUUACCAGGUCUUGACAUUGAUGGACAGAACUAGAGAUAGUUCCUCUUCUUCGGAAGCCAGAAAACAGGUGGUGCACGGUUGUCGUCAGCUCGUGUCGUGAGAUGUUGGGUUAAGUCCCGCAACGAGCGCAACCCCUAUCUUAUGUUGCCAGCACGUAAUGGUGGGAACUCAUGAGAGACUGCCGCAGACAAUACGGAGGAAGGCGGGGAUGACGUCAAAUCAUCAUGCCCCUUAUGACCUGGGCUACACACGUACUACAAUGGGAGUUAAUAGACGGAAGCGAGAUCGCGAGAUGGAGCAAACCCGAGAAACACUCUCUCAGUUCGGAUCGUAGGCUGCAACUCGCCUACGUGAAGUCGGAAUCGCUAGUAAUCGCAGGUCAGCAUACUGCGGUGAAUACGUUCCCGGGUCUUGUACACACC
rnacentral:rRNA from 1 species